UACGUAGGGUGCAAGCGUUAAUCGGAAUUACUGGGCGUAAAGCGUGCGCAGGCGGUUUUGUAAGACUGACGUGAAAUCCCCCGGGCUCAACCUGGGAAUGGCGUUGGUGACUGCAAGGCUAGAGUUUGGCAGAGGGGGGGUAGAAUUCCACGUGUAGCAGUGAAAUGCGUAGAUAUGUGGAGGAACACCGAUGGCGAAGGCAGCCCCCCUGGGUCAAAAACUGACGCUCAUGCACGAAAGCGUGGGGAGCAAACAGG
rnacentral:rRNA from 1 species